rnacentral:rRNA from 1 species
CGUGGGUAACCUGCCCAAGAGAUCGGGAUAACACCUGGAAACAGAUGCUAAUACCGGAUAACAACAGAUGAUGCCUAUCAACUGUUUAAAAGAUGGUUCUGCUAUCACUCUUGGAUGGACCUGCGGUGCAUUAGCUAGUUGGUAGGGUAACGGCCUACCAAGGCGAUGAUGCAUAGCCGAGUUGAGAGACGGAUCGGCCACAUUGGGACUGAGACACGGCCCAAACUCCUACGGGAGGCAGCAGUC